UACGUAGGGUGCGAGCGUUAAUCGGAAUUACUGGGCGUAAAGCGUGCGCAGGCGGUAAGUUAAGUCUGAUGUGAAAGCCCCGGGCUCAACCUGGGAACGGCAUUGGAAACUGGCUUGCUGGAGUGUGGCAGAGGGGGGUGGAAUUCCGCGUGUAGCAGUGAAAUGCGUAGAGAUGCGGAGGAACACCGAUGGCGAAGGCAGCCCCUGGGCCAACACUGACGCUCAGGCACGAAAGCGUGGGAGCAAACAGG
rnacentral:rRNA from 1 species